rnacentral:rRNA from 1 species
AGCAGCCGCGGUAAUUCCAGCUCCAAUAGCGUAUAUUAAAGUUGUUGCAGUUAAAAAGCUCGUAGUUGAAUUUCGGGGUCAGUAGGCUGGUCGUGCCACAGGUACGUACUGGUCUCACUGAUUCCUCCUUCCUGAUGAACCGUAAUGCCAUUAAUUUGGUGUUGCGGGGAAACUGGACUGUUACUUUGAAAAAAUUAGAGUGUUUAAAGCAGGCUAACGCUUGAAUACAUUAGCAUGGAAUAAUGAAAUAGGACGUUCGAUCCUAUUUUGUUGGUUUCUAGGAUUGACGUAAUGAUUAAUAGGGAUAGUUGGGGGCAUUAGUAUUCAAUUGUCAGAGGUGAAAUUCUUGGAUUUAUUGAAGACUAACUACUGCGAAAGCAUUUGCCAAGAUGUUUUCAUUAAUCAAGAACGAAAGUUAGGGGAUCGAAGACGAUCAGAUACCGUCGUAGUCUUAACCAUAAACUAUGCCGACUAGGGAUCGGAUGAUGUUAUUUUUAAUGACUCAUUCGGCGCCUUACGG